GACGAACGCUGGCGGCGUGCUUAACACAUGCAAGUCGAACGGUGAAGCGCCUUCCUUUUUGGUGGGUGUGGAUGAGUGGCGAACGGGUGAGUAACACGUGAGUAACCUGCCCCCUUCUUCUGGAUAACCGCAUGAAAGUGUGGCUAAUACGGGAUAUUCUGGGUCUGUCGCAUGAUGGGUCUGGGAAAGAUAUUGUUUCGGUGGGGGAUGGGCUCGCGGCCUAUCAGCUUGUUGGUGGGGUGAUGGCCUACCAAGGCGGUGACGGGUAGCCGGCCUGAGAGGGUGGACGGGCACAAUGGGAAGGAGACACGGCACAGACUCCGAAGGGAGGCAGCAGUGGGGAAUAGUGCACAAGGGGCGCAAGCCUGAUGCAGCGACGCCGCGUGAGGGAUGGAGGCCUGCGGGUUGUGAACCUCUUUCGCCAGUGAAGCAGGCCUGCCUCGUUUGUGGGUGGGUUGACGGUAGCUGGAUAAGAAGCGCCGGCUAACUACGUG
rnacentral:rRNA from 1 species